rnacentral:lncRNA from 1 species
NNNNNNNNNNNNNNNNNNNNNNNNNNNNNNNNNNNNNNNNNNNNNNNNNUGGGAAAAAUUGUGAUGCCUGGGUAUCAGGAGCAAAUGUUAAAUCUCUGGAAGAUCUGGUUUCCCUAGGAAAAAUGGAGCAGUUUUUAGAGGGUGUUCCUGAGGAAAUAGAAAGGUACAUCCUAGAUAGGAAGCCCAAAACUGUAACCGAGACGGGGGAGAUUGGAGUCAAAUGGGUGGAGGUGGCAGAAAAGAAAAAAACUAGUAGCAGUUGGAGCGAAUAUCAGAAGGGGCAACCCGAAACCAAACCUUACCACCGGGGAAAACCCAAGGCCCCACCCACAUCCCAAGGGAAACCCCAGACGCCUUCUCACCCCACCACACCAGUCUCCACCAACCAACAUCGCCCCGGUGAUACCUUAUCAGGGCGAUGUUUUAAAUGUAAUGAACUGGGACAUAUAAAGGUUCACUGCCCCAAGAACCCCAACCGAUUACAGUUCAUUACACCCCAAUCACACCAAAGAUCCCCAGACCCAGAUGCCUCUCUCAUACCCUCGGAGCGAAGGGAAACCUUGAGAGUGGGCGGAAAGAAGGUUAUCGCUUGGAGGGACACUGGGGCACAAGUGUCAACUAUCCACCAAUCCCUAGUGGACCCCAAACUCAUCAACCCGGAGGCUCCAGUGACAAUUCAACCCUUCGUGUCACAGUCUGUAACCUUGCCUACAGCCAAGUUGCAUGUCCAGUACAAAGGCUGCUCAGGAAUGUGGUCUUUUGCAGUCUAUGACAAUUAUCCCAUUCCCAUGCUGCUGGGGGAAGACUUGGCCAACCAUGUGAAGCUAGACAAGAGGGUGGGAAUAGUCACCCGCAGCCAGGCUAAGCAAGCUUUCACCCCCAUCCCUGUUCCUGAGCCGUCCACCAGGGCCCCGUCUGUGUUACCAGAGACCCAAACAAAGGUGGUGGAACCGGAUCCCCUGCCAACGACUGCAUCAGCAGUAGUGGAUCCAAUCCCAGAGACCCAGCCAAAGCCAGUCCCAGAACCGGAACUGGCAACGCAACCAGCACCAGAACCAUUGCCAGCACUGAGUCCAGCGCUUGC